rnacentral:lncRNA from 1 species
GAACUGCCAACCCUAUACUAGGGGAUUGUUGUCCCAAAAUUGACAUGCUCGAGUUACUAAACUUAGAGACCACAAGAACUUGUAAAGGCAACUCCAAAUUUUAUAUACCACGGCCAUCCUACUCGGGGACUGGUACUUCGAAACUAUUGAGAAACAAGCCCAAAAGGAAAAUCUCAAGUUAAAGGCUACGACCAAACUAACACAGUU